GAUGAACGCUAGCGGGAGGCUUAACACAUGCAAGUCGAGGGGCAGCACGAGGUAGCAAUACUUUGGUGGCGACCGGCGCACGGGUGAGUAACGCGUAUGUAACCUACCUUGUACAGGGGGAUAGCCCGGAGAAAUUCGGAUUAAUACCCCAUAAUGAUAUUUAGAGGCAUCUCUGAAUAUUUAAAGUUUCGACGGUACAGGUUGGGCAUGCGUGACAUCAGCUAGUUGGUAAGGUAACGGCUUACCAAGGCUGCGAUGUCUAGGGGUCCUGAGAGGGUGAUCCCCCACACUGGUACUGAGACACGGACCAGACUCCUACGGGAGGCAGCAGUGAGGAAUAUUGGUCAAUGGGCGCAAGCCUGAACCAGCCAUCCCGCGUGAAGGAAGAAGGCGCUAUGCGUUGUAAACUUCUUUUCCGGAGGAAUAAAAUUUCGUACGUGUACGGGACUGAAGGUACUCCGGGAAUAAGCAUCGGCUAACUCCGUGCCAGCCGCCGCCGUAACAC
rnacentral:rRNA from 1 species